CACAAGGGCUCCCCCUUAGCCUGUCGGUUCUGUUCUAAGCAACAGUCGUAACAGGAAGCCUAGAAUGUGGGAGGACGUAACAGGAGGAAGCCCAGGCUGCAGCCCCUGGCGCCCACCCCUCCUGGUUCCUAGAGCCUUGACUUUGAAGAGGACCAGGCACUGUGCUGAGUGCCUCAUACAACGCGUCCCUCGUCCACCCAGCAGCUCAAAGAGGUCACUAUUUCACUUUGCGACCAUUUCACCGAUGAGAAGCCUGAGGCUUGGGUUGGGCUCAUAGACAAUUGUUCCUGUUCUUUGGCUUAUUGGAGAAGCUACUAUUUGUUUUCAAAUUAUUUUGUACAAUAUGACUUCAGUGAUUGCUGCUGCAGGAGUCUCGGGUCACAGACACGCUCAACCACCAACCUCUCUCUUUGAGUUAACCUGGCCAGCAAUGGAGCGUCCACUUCAGCACCACUUAUUAUCCAAAGUGAGGAUUUUAAAAGUGUUGGAGCUGGACAAACGCACGUAUGGACUUGUCCCCUGCCGUCGUCGUAAUAACUACUUCCGUCGUACAGAGCUUUACGGCUCUUCCUCUCCAGCACCCACUCUCCACAACCAGGCUCAGCCCUGCACAAGCGCUUGGGCUCGGGGCAAGGACAUUUCUCUCGGGCAGAGCUGUGGGCCUGCUCUGCAGCAUGAACGAUUUCCCCAGAAGUACUUCUCCCCAUGGCUCACUGUCAUGGAACCACAAUGGCCACCCUGCACAGAGGGGCUUGAAGGAAAUAGCUCCUAAGAUGGAGACAAAAAAGCGUUGAGUACCAUAUAUGAGGUUGACUCACUGAGUUCACAAUCUGAAAAACCUACCUCAUGAUUAUAAACCAGGACCUUGCUGUGAAGUGGAAAUUCUUGGAUACUAGGACAGAAGAACCUAACAUCUCCAGAAGCAGCUAAGGCAGAAUCAAUGCAAUGAAGGAAAGAAUUAGUGACGCAGAAACAUAUUUAAGAGGAAAUCCAAAAUACUAUUAAUUUAAUAAAUAUAAUGCCUCAUAAGGUCCUG
rnacentral:lncRNA from 1 species